ACGGCUAAUUAUCAGCGUUGAUCUUGCAGAUAAGACACAAUCUAUACUUCUGCAAAACUAAACAAACACAUGCCCCAUUAAAAAUUGCAUGAUCACCAGCAGUAGUAGCUGCAAUUGUGAGUACUGAGAUCAGAUUCACUCACAGUCAACUACUCUGGGAUCUUGUUUUGACAAGAAGAAUUGCAAGAGAAAGUUCAUCAAAGAGUACAUUGAAUGCUUGACGGUGCCUCCUCACCACUAAGGGUGUCUUCAGGGACUCUACAUGUUUUAUGCUAGGCCAUGGCUUCUUAAGACAUGAAAGAAACCUCAGCUCUGCCCUGGUGAUAACAGAGAAAAUAAACACUGCCUGAAACUUCUGGAAACUGGUACUGAGCUACAUUGUAAAAGAUGGAGUAAAUAAGAGCUCAGAAUCUAGUCCUAACCAAAUCUUGUGUUUGGCCACUUCAAAGAGACAAUUCUAGGCUCACCUCUCAGUGACAGCUCUGUGAACUGCCUCCAGCUUCUUAGCAUGUUUUUAAGAGCCUGCUGGCACCUUGCAAUUAUCACUCCUCAGUCAUUUCUCAAGAGACUUGCUUUUACUUCCUGAAAGAUGGUAGAAGAAGGGCAGCCUGGCAAAAUGGUAUCUGACAUGGAAGUGCAGAUGAAGUACAGGUGUGGCAUUGGAUUCCUCCAAGUGGAAAAAAAUGGCACCUACUGACACCUAUUGACACUUCCUGAACAUUUAUUUAUGGAGACCAAACAGUGGAUGUAAGCACAGUGAGGUGGUGGGUGGUGUGUUUCAGCAAUGGCAACAGUGGAUCACCUCUCCUGUUACAGAUUUUUGAGUACAGCACAUGGGCUCUUGUUCAUGCUGGUGAAGGUGCAAGCUAAUGGUGGUCACCACGUUGAAAAAUAGUGUUUUGUAGUUGAGAAUUUGCUCUGUCAAAUAGAGCUAUUGUGCUCUUUGUAUCUUCUGUAGUGUGCAUGGAAAAAUAAGUAGACAUUACUUUCAGAGAUACCCAUGUCUCUAUCAAAAUGCAUCCUGAAGUCACAGUGAGGCUCUAUCUCACAGACUCUCAUGUUCUUUACAGGGCUAGGUCCAGAAGUUUUGAAAAGUAUCUUUGAGACUUGUGACUUUAUGGGAUGUAAACAACAACAACAAAAGGCCAAAGGGCUGUCUCAUCCCUUUCAAUCGUGUUGUUCAUUCCUACUGUGCCUUCCCUUCCACUGUGUUUCAUUGUCACCUACGCAGUCUGUGCUCGCCAUAUCACUAAAAGUGAUAAAAGUUUACAUUCUUUUGGGGCUGCAUUACUAGCUGACUAGGGCCUCAUAUGCCAUGCACUGGACAUGUCUGGAUUAUGACUUUUCUGGAAGUACUAAUAUGUAAGUUCCUGAUCUAUUUACAAAAACAGAUCAUAAUAAUAAUGUAAAUGUAAGUUAAAAAAAUGAUAUAUAACUAGCACACUUAACUGGGCUCAUUGCCAAGGCAGUUGAUGAGCAGUGCUAGAUUUUGAAUCCAGGAUCCUAGAAAAUGUUACACAGCUGUUUAUUUUAUGUAAAAUGAUAGAGGCAUUUCUUUGAAGAACACAGGGCUCUGAAUUUUACAAACCAGAUUCUUUCAUUUUCUCAAUUGUAAUAACAUUGCUUAAAAAGAUCUUUUUUCAUCACUUACGUAAUACAGUUAAUGCAGGUAUAAACGGAACUGUGUAUUUUUAGUUUUUACUAUAGUACGUUUCAGUGACAGUAUUUUCUCAUGGUGAAAUUUACUUCAAAAACCUUUCCAUUUUCCCAUUGCAUUCUGCUUUAAAUCACAGAAAAUUGCAGACUACUUAGAAACACAGGUGGCUCGUAAUCUCGGGACAUAAUAACGAACUACAAAGGAACAAUAUAUUUCCUUUUGAUUACUGUAAUUCAGAGCUACUGUGUGGGCAAGAAUUGAGAAUCCAUACCACCCAGGCAGUUUACUUAGCAGCAAUCAUCCCUUCUAGUAAAUUUUUGUCAAGUUAAUGUUUGUAUUUGACACAGUGCAAUAGAAGAAGACAGCAGGUGUAAAGAAUUUCUACAGUUACCCCACGCAUCUUUGGACUCAGCAAACUUGAACUUUCUGGAAAAAGAAAGUAGCUUCCAAGUAACUGAAAUUUCAACUUGUGAGAUAUCAUGAAACACAAUUGGAAUCAAAUAAACCAGUUUAAUGCAACUAAUCUUAAAGUUUACAAUUUCUAACAAUAAUCCCUAGUGGCUUGAAAGAGAAUAAAUUUGCAGUAGCAGAAUGAUUUUUUUACUGUAAAUUCAUCCUUCUAGCUUCAUGUGAUCCAAUUUUAAUACUUCCAAGGCCAUAAAGUAGCUAUUUCUAUCUUUCUAAGCUGUAUAGUUUACCUUUAGCAAAAGGAAUCUACUGUAAAUUAUUGUUUUUCAGAUCCUUUUACUGUAGCUCUAGGUCGUGUUUUAUCACCUACUAUUAUUCAAAAUUUAAGCACAUAUGAUUUUAUUUGUCAUAAUUAACAUUUUUAAUUUUUAAGACAGGCAGUCUUGGCAUCAUUUUGAAAUGCAUUUGGAGAAGAUCACAACUCCUCUGUUCAUACAGUCUGAAACAGCCUGUUCUUGGGGCUACUUAUUCAUCACUCUGUGUAAUAAAUCACCUACAUCUUCCAAGUAUGUCUUGGCUCAAGCCAGUUUAGUUUGUGAAAUCUGAGUGAUCACAGCAAGCAUUAAUUGUAGGCCAUUCUGGGAUGUUUACUUUGUAUAACUAUACAGCAUAAAUGUAGGAAACGUAACUAUGUUUGAAAUUUCCAGGACAGUAAGCCAAAAUUUCAGACUUUUUACCUGAAGUUCUGUGGCUUUACAGCAUAUUAAGAGUUCUCCCUGAGGUUAGAUUUACAUGUAAAAAAUGUCAUCUUUUAUAUAGCCAAUAUAGCUAAUUUAAGAAAAUGUAAUGUUGUGAGAUUUUUUAAGCACAAUAUAUUUUUAUAUUUCUGGAAAUAUAGCCCACAAAAUUAUUGUUGUUUUUUUCCUGUGACUGUUGUUUUUUUAAGGCGAGCUAAAGAUUUCAUGUGUUAAGUCAUUUGUUAUUGGUGUUAUGUCACCCCACAGGAAAAAUAAAUAGAAAUUAGGUUUUCAUAGGAGAUUUAUAAUCUCCUUCUAUUAACUGGAAGCUCUUUGUUUUCAUUUUCAUUUACUUUAUUUGAUUUCCUACAUUUUAGCGUAAUCUCU